AUGUUCUGGCCAAUAAGAGGGCAUUCUACUUGGGCAGGCAAAAAGAGAAAAGGAAGCAGAAUAAGAAGCAUUCAGCUUUGUGUCCUUUGCUCUUGACCCUCUUUUCUGUCUGUAAAUAACACAGGCUGCCCGGAGGUGGAGCAGCUGCCUUACAACCAUGGAAAUGGAGGAGGAGGAAAGAAAAAAAGGGAAACUAAGUCCUUGGUGACUUCAUGGAGCUGCCUCUCGCUAACCUUCUCUUUCUCCUUCCAGGACUGCUGAUACGUGACAAAAAUCAACCUGUGUGUGAUUAAAGCCCUGUGGUGGGUUUCUUCUGCAUUCACCUGAAAACAGUCAUGACUAAACCAGCCGUUUUCUUUGUCAUUGGACAGAGCCUUCUGGCGCUGUUUUGUGAUGGAAACAUUCAGGAACAUCUUCAAGGUCUCCGAUGAAGCUGUGAUAAUCUUUCACCAAAAGAGACUGUGGAAAUAUUGCUUCCUUUCAGAGCUGUGGCCAUUUACAAUUUUCCCAGUCACAAAGGGAGAAUCAAAGCAAAUUUGAUUUAUUCAGCUGUUCACACUGAGCUCAUGCACUUCCAGUUGGGACGAGAUGUCAUGGCCUGUUCAUCUUUAAGUGGAAUAAACUUUCCUCAUGAAAAAAGAAAUCGCCAUACAAAGUGACCGACCAUUCAACAAAGAAUUUGGCAAAGUGAGUACCUGCAGAUAAGGUCAAUAUUUCCCUCAGAAAACAGUUUGAGAUUAUUCAGCAUCC